rnacentral:tmRNA from 1 species
GGGGGCGACAGGCUUCGACGGGAUGUCCUGAAGCCAAGGGAAGCAUACCGAGGUCUGGGGCUCGUUAAAACACCAGAAAAAAAUAGUCGCAAACGACUAUAACUACGCUCUGGCUGCUUAAGUCAGCCAGCGUCUUUUAGGCCUGCUCCUGCGGGGCUUAAGAG